UACGUAGGGAGCAAGCGUUAUCCGGAAUUAUUGGGUGUAAAGGGUGCGUAGACGGGAUAACAAGUUAGUUGUGAAAUACCUCGGCUCAACUGGGGAACUGCAACUAAAACUAUUAUUCUUGAGUGCAGGAGAGGAAAGUGGAAUUCCUAGUGUAGCGGUGAAAUGCGUAGAUAUUAGGAAGAACACCGGUGGCGAAGGCGGCUUUCUGGACUGUAACUGACGUUGAGGCACGAAGGCGCGGGUAUCGAACA
rnacentral:rRNA from 1 species